UGUUACUGUGUAGUGGUAUCUGCACAAUAUCUUUGGGUGACUACAGGAAAUCCUAUUGGUGGAGCUGUAUGUUUGUGUGGAGAGCAAGGCCGAGGGAGGGGGUCUCUCUAUUUGAGGGUUCAAGGCAGGUCCAAGUGUGGUGAUGAAAAGCAAUAGGAAGUGAAAAUUCUGCGGCUUUUAGUCUUGUCAACUUUCUAACUAAACGCAUGAUGUCAGACCAGAGGAAUGAGGGACAUGUCGAUUGAGAUCUGUUUAAAAUAUGCCAGCUGACUGCAGCAAACAACACACUCCUCAUGUGAUUACGUGACUCUCCCAUGAUCCCAGACACUAGAGACUGAGGCAGUACCCUUGAUGGAUCUACCCUUCUGAGCUGGCCUCCUCGGAUCAUCUCGUCUUACAGGGGGCAGCAGCUUCCUUCCCCCCUUGAGAUUUAUAAGCACUAACAUGCUAGUAUCCUUAGGAAAUGAUGUAUUGGCAUGCCCUUUUUAACAUGACAUUCAGAAAUGCGCCUAGCACUCUGGAAAAGGUGGAUUGGGCUAUCCCUCCAGACAUUCCAGCUGUGGUCUGAAAGGAACCAGAGGCUAAGUAGUGCAGAGAACACAGCACUUUUACAUGUGCAGGGAUAGCAGCACCUAAAUUGAUGCUGGGGUCUAACUCAUCCCUGUGUUCAGCUAUUAGGUCUCGGAUGACCUGCAGAGUGAGACUCUAACGCUUUAGCACCGCAUCCUUCGUCUUCAUUUGAAUGCAUUUCACUAUACAUACGGCUGUUAAACACAAUUUACGGCUGCAUUAUAGGGGCUUUGCACCCGCAAAUCACUUUGCGCCUAUCCUUACAUCUACUGCACAAUGGUUAUUGAGGUAAGCAGUGUUAGUGAGUGAUAUGUACACCUUGAGUCUGCACAAGCUUGCUCUGUGGCUCUGUGGGAGAAGCAGCCUUCCGGAAACUUGUUUUGCUCUUCUUCCAAAACUCCAACACAUUUCUGCAAUACUGACAUACCUGGGCAUGUGUGGUCCUGCAGCUUCAGGGAGAAGGCGUCAGCUUGCAUGGGACACAUCUGGGUGUCUUGAGCUCCCAUUGUGGGGUCCAAUAUUUAUCUGUCUGCAACAUUGUGUUUAUAGGUAAGAAUUUAAUUGCAGGCGGUUACUGAA